rnacentral:rRNA from 1 species
UACGUAGGGGGCGAGCGUUGUCCGGAUUUACUGGGCGUAAAGAGCGCGUAGGCGGCUCGUUAAGUGUGAAGUGAAAUCUCCAGGGCUCAACCCGGAAACUGCUUUACAUACUGGCGAGCUGGAGUGAUGAAGAGGUUUGUGGAAUUCCUGGUGUAGCGGUGAAAUGCGUUGAUAUCAGGAGGAACACCCAUGGCGAAGGCAGCAAACUGGUCAUCAACUGACGCUGAGGCGCGAAAAGCGUGGGUAGCAAACAGG